AACGCACAUUGCGCCCCUUGGUAUUCCAUGGGGCAUGCCUGUUCGAGCGUCAUUUGUACCCUCAAGCUUUGCUUGGUGUUGGGCGUUUUGUCUUUUCACAAAGACUCGCCUCAAAGUAAUUGGCAGCCAGUGUUUUGGUAGUAAGCGCAGCACAUUUUGCGUCUUAGUCCCUUGACAGCGGCAUCCACAAAGCCUCUUUCUCACUUUUGACCUCGGAUCAGGUAGGGAUACCCGCUGAACUUAA
rnacentral:misc_RNA from 1 species